AUUGAACGCUGGCGGCAGGCUUAACACAUGCAAGUCGAGCGGAUGAAAGUAGCUUGCUACUGGAUUCAGCGGCGGACGGGUGAGUAAUGCUUAGGAAUCUGCCUAUUAGUGGGGGACAACGUUCCGAAAGGAGCGCUAAUACCGCAUACGUCCUACGGGAGAAAGCAGGGGACCUUUGGGCCUUGCGCUAAUAGAUGAGCCUAAGUCGGAUUAGCUAGUUGGUAGGGUAAAGGCCUACCAAGGCGACGAUCUGUAGCGGGUCUGAGAGGAUGAUCCGCCACACUGGGACUGAGACACGGCCCAGACUCCUACGGGAGGCAGCAGUGGGGAAUAUUGGACAAUGGGGGGAACCCUGAUCCGGCCAUGCCGCGUGUGUGAAGAAGGCCUUUUGGUUGUAAAGCACUUUAAGCGAGGAGGAGGCUACCUAGAUUAAUACUUUAGGAUAGUGGACGUUACUCGCAGAAUAAGCACCGGCUAACUCUGUGCCAGCCGCCGCGGUAACAC
rnacentral:rRNA from 1 species